UACGUAGGCAGCAAGCGUUGUUCGGAGUUACUGGGCGUAAAGGGUGCGUAGGCGGCUUCUUAAGUCUGGUGUGAAAUCUCCCGGCUCAACUGGGAGGGUGCGCCGGAUACUGAGGGGCUAGAGUGUGGGAGAGGAAAGUGGAAUUCCUGGUGUAGCGGUGAAAUGCGUAGAUAUCAGGAGGAACACCGGUGGUGUAAACGGCUUUCUGGACCAUAACUGACGCUGAGGCGCGAAGGCUGGGGUAGCGAACAGG
rnacentral:rRNA from 1 species